rnacentral:rRNA from 1 species
UACGAAGGGGGCUAGCGUUGCUCGGAAUCACUGGGCGUAAAGCGCACGUAGGCGGCUUUUUAAGUCAGAGGUGAAAUCCUGGAGCUCAACUCCAGAACUGCCUUUGAUACUGGAGAGCUUGAGUCCGGGAGAGGUGAGUGGAACUGCGAGUGUAGAGGUGAAAUGCGUAGAUAUUCGCAAGAACACCAGUGGCGAAGGCGGCUCACUGGCCCGGUACUGACGCUGAGGUGCGAAAGCGUGGGGAGCAAACAGG